GCUAAUACCGCAUAUUCUGUGAGCAGGAAAGCAGGGGAUCGCAAGACCUUGCGCUGAUUGAGCGGCCGAUAUCAGAUUAGCUUGUUGGUGAGGUAAAAGCUCACCAAGGCGACGAUCUGUAGCGGGUCUGAGAGGAUGAUCCGCCACACUGGAACUGAGACACGGUCCAGACUCCUACGGGAGGCAGCAGUGGGGAAUUUUGGACAAUGGGGGCAACCCUGAUCCAGCCAUGCUGCGUGAGUGAAGAAGGCCUUCGGGUUGUAAAGCUCUUUCAGCCGGGAAGAAAACGCAUGGGUUAAUACCCUGUGUGGAUGACGGUACCGGAAUAAGAAGCACCGGCUAACUACGUGCCAGCAGCCGCGGUAAUACGUAGGGUGCGAGCGUUAAUCGGAAUUACUGGGCGUAAAGCGUGCGCAGGCGGUUUUGUAAGACAGGCGUGAAAUCCCCGGGCUUAACCUGGGAACUGCGUUUGUGACUGCAAGGCUAGAGUACGGCAGAGGGGGGUGGAAUUCCACGUGUAGCAGUGAAAUGCGUAGAGAUGUGGAGGAACACCAAUGGCGAAGGCAGCCCCCUGGGUCGAUACUGACGCUCAUGCACGAAAGCGUGGGUAGCAAACAGGAUUAGAUACCCUGGUAGUCCACGCCCUAAACGAUGUCAACUAGGUGUUGGGAGGGUAAAACCUUUUAGUACCGGAGCUAACGCGUGAAGUUGACCGCCUGGGGAGUACGGCCGCAAGGUUAAAACUCAAAGGAAUUGACGGGGACCCGCACAAGCGGUGGAUGAUGUGGAUUAAUUCGAUGCAACGCGAAAAACCUUACCUACCCUUGACAUGCCAAGAACUUUCCAGAGAUGGAUUGGUGCCCGAAAGGGAACUUGGACACAGGUGCUGCAUGGCUGUCGUCAGCUCGUGUCGUGAGAUGUUGGGUUAAGUCCCGCAACGAGCGCAACCCUUGUCGUUAAUUGCCAUCAUUUAGUUGGGCACUUUAACGAGACUGCCGGUGACAAACCGGAGGAAGGUGGGGAUGACGUCAAGUCCUCAUGGCCCUUAUGGGUAGGGCUUCACACGUCAUACAAUGGUCGGUACAAAGGGUCGCCAAGCCGCGAGGUGGAGCCAAUCCCAGAAAGCCGAUCGUAGUCCGGAUCGCAGUCUGCAACUCGACUGCGUGAAGUCGGAAUCGCUAGUAAUCGUGGAUCAGAAUGUCACGGUGAAUACGUUCCCGGGUCUUGUACACACCGCCCGUCACACCAUGGGAGCGGGUUCCGCCAGAAGUAGGUAGCCUAACCGCAAGGAGGGCGCUUACCACGGCGGGGUUCGUGACUGGGGUGAAGUCGUAACAAGGUA
rnacentral:rRNA from 1 species